UACGAAGGGGGCUAGCGUUGCUCGGAAUCACUGGGCGUAAAGCGCACGUAGGCGGGUUGUUAAGUCGGGGGUGAAAUCCUGGAGCUCAACUCCAGAACUGCCUUCGAUACUGGCGACCUUGAGUCCGGGAGAGGUGAGUGGAACUCCGAGUGUAGAGGUGAAAUUCGUAGAUAUUCGGAAGAACACCAGUGGCGAAGGCGGCUCACUGGCCCGGUACUGACGCUGAGGUGCGAAAGGCGUGGGGAGCAAACAGG
rnacentral:rRNA from 1 species